rnacentral:rRNA from 1 species
UGGGGAAUAUUGCACAAUGGGCGCAAGCCUGAUGCAGCCAUGCCGCGUGUAUGAAGAAGGCCUUCGGGUUGUAAAGUACUUUCAGCGAGGAGGAAGGCGUUGUGGUUAAUAACCGCAGCGAUUGACGUUACUCGCAGAAGAAGCACCGGCUAACUCCGUGCCAGCAGCCGCGGUAAUACGGAGGGUGCAAGCGUUAAACGGAAUUACUGGGCGUAAAGCGCACGCAGGCGGUCUGUCAAGUCGGAUGUGAAAUCCCCGGGCUCAACCUGGGAACUGCAUCCGAAACUGGCAGGCUAGAGUCUUGUAGAGGGGGGUAGAAUUCCAGGUGUAGCGGUGAAAUGCGUAGAGAUCUGGAGGAAUACCGGUGGCGAAGGCGGCCCCCUGGACAAAGACUGACGCUCAGGUGCGAAAGCGUGGGGAGCAAACA